rnacentral:rRNA from 1 species
GAAACCAACAGGGAUUGCCUCAGUAACGGCGAGUGAAGCGGCAACAGCUCAAAUUUGAAAUCUGGCUCUUUUAGGGUCCGAGUUGUAAUUUGUAGGGGAUGCUUUGGGUACCGUUGCAGUUUAAAUUUCUUGGAACAGAAUGUCAGAGAGGGUGAGAGUCCCGUCUGGAACUGUGAUAGGGCCUAUGUAAAGCUCCUUCAACGAGUCGAGUUGUUUGGGAAUGCAGCUCAAAAUGGGUGGUAAAUUUCAUCUAAAGCUAAAUAUUGGCCAGAGACCGAUAGCGCACAAGUAGAGUGAUCGAAAGAUGAAAAGCACUUUGAAAAGAGAGUUAAACAGUACGUGAAAUUGUUGAAAGGGAAGCGCUUGCAACCAGACUUGCGUGUAGUGGUUCCCCCUUGCUUUUGCUUGGGCUAUUCCAUUAUAUCCAGGCCAUCAUCGGUUCUAGGAGUUGGUUAAAGACAUUAGGAAUGUACCUACCUCCGGGUAGACUUAUAGCCUAGUGUGUCAUGCAGCUUCCCGGGACCGAGGUACGCGCUUCGGCGAGGAUGAUGGCGUAAUGGUUGUAAGCGACCCGUCUUGAAACACGGACCAAGGAGUCUAACAUCUAUGCGAGUGUUUGGGUGUCAAACCCGUACGCGAAAUGAAAGUGAACGGAGGUAAGAAGCCUUAAGGCUGCAUUAUCGACCGAUCCUGAUAUUUAUGGAUGGAUUUGAGUAAGAGCAUAGCUGUUGGGACCCGAAAGAUGGUGAACUAUGCCUGAAUAGGGUGAAGCCAGAGGAAACUCUGGUGGAGGCUCGCAGCGGUUCUGACGUGCAAAUCGAUCGUCAAAUUUGGGUAUAGGGGCGAAAGACUAAUCGAACCAUCUGGUAGCUGGUUCCUGC